rnacentral:lncRNA from 1 species
CAGGUGAGUUUGAAUUCUUGAUAAACAACAAUAAUGCAUAGUACAAACAUGUCCCCAAUAUUACAUGGGAUGUUUUUAUUUAGUACUGGGGAUUAACCCCAAGGUGCUUUACCACUGAGCUUUAUCCCCAACCCUUUUUAUUUUGACAGAAUCUCACCUAAGUUGCCCAGGCUGGCCUCGACUUGCAGUCCUCCUGCCUCAGCCUCUCAAACUGCUGGGAUUAUAGGUAUGUACCACUGAACCAAGGCAGGUUGUAUUUAUACUAAAAAUCAUUAUUCAUUGUUUAUCUUAUAUCAAAUUCCUAUAUACCUUCCCACUAGUGCCCCCAGUGUUAACAUUCUAUGUUAAUAUAGUACAGUUAUAGUAAUUAAUAAGCCAAUAUUGAUACACUAUUCUUAGCAAAAGCCUAUAUUUGUUCACUAUGUACAUACUACAUACACAGUGGUGUGGACAUUCACUACGUCUACACUGCAGGGCUACUGGGGAUCUGCACUCAUGCCUUGAAGGUGUGGUAACUAUAUAAACUACGUGGAAUUCUUCAUUAGGGAGAUUUGUCUCUUUGCCCCACUUAUUUAUUUACCAGAUGAUUUAUCUGGAUAUUUACUUUAUACUAUAGGGGUAAAGAGUUCCUCACUUCCCUCUCUCAAGUUUGCACCUCUGUCUGCUGAAAUAAAGCCAUGAGAUAGAGGAGAGGAAAGUACCAGGCCUGGUCCCAGGGGCCUGGCUGGAGGCGGGGCACCAAGACACCAGUGAGAUUCCGAAGCUUCUCUGCCCCUUCUCCAAGGGGAGAGGGACGGGGACUGUAGGCAGUUUUAGAGGAAGAGGGUUGCGAAUGGCCUGAAAGACAGACAGUGCCUGCAGCACACUUCCUGGCCCAUGUAUGCUAGGAUUUUCCGUCUUCUUCUGUGAUGGGGUGUCUCCUCUUCUUCAGUUAAUGACAGUCUGUAGGAAGACGGAAGGCCAUAGUGUUCUCCUUUGGUGGACCUGGCCUUUGAACAGACAGGGCAGCCUCAGGGAAGGGUCUGCUGUCUCCUGGUGACAGUAACAUAGCUAGCAUACCAAGGCGCUACAGUGUAGGGUAUCCUGUUUUGAGCCCCCAAGUACUUUGGGUCAUAAUCCAAAUAAUCCAUAAUCUACUUUAUUUUCUUGCUGAAAUUAUUCUAGCUUUGGGCAUGAGUGCUCUUCUUGUUGGCUGCACACACAUGCCCACACGCACACUCCUUAUAUCCCGGCACUCUGAGAUGUUCAGCCAUCCUGCCUGUCUCCUGCCCCAGCCCUGGAGUCAGCCAUCUCUCUAAGAGGAGGUGCUCCUGUGUUCUACUGAGGGUGGUGUCAGAGGCCAUCAUCUGUGUGCUAUGUGUGCUUGUUGCUGUGAGGUGUUACUAUCCCUGGCCCUCCCAGGUGACCGAGCAAGGACGUCUGUGUAUGUGCACUUGUGUAUACACGCGGCUGUUGCACAUCUCUGCAUGGUUUUCAUUGGUUGCUGCUCCAUGAUCCACCACAUCCAGUGUCUCGUGGCCAACUGUGUCAGCACUUCUGUCCUCCGGCGUGGAACACUUGCUGUUCGGCUUUGGAUAUGAGGUGUUCCCAACCAGUAAGUCAAUCUCCUGGUGGAAUUAACUGAUGCCUCAAGGCGAGUGGAGUCUCUGCACCCUCUGAUCGUCACACAAGCUGCCUUCCUCUGCACACCUUCUGCCAUGAUGUUUUGCCUCACCUGGAGCCUUGAGGAGUGCAGCCAGCCAUCCAUGGACUGAGACCUCUGAAACUGCGAGCCCCAAAUAAGUUGAUCCUCCUCUACAAUUGUUCUGGUCAUUAGUCACAGCAGGGAAAAAGCUGACUGAAACACUUACUGUCACUGGGCUUUUUCCUCGCCCUCCUUCUUAAACGUUAAGUGUGCUAAUUAUUUCCAGCGCCCACACUCAGCCCACCGGAGAUGUCCUCUUCACCUGCUGCUUUACCCCGACUGCAAGCUCAUGGGAAGCACACCGUCCAUCCUCUUGGAGCCACUUUCUCUGGGCACCUCAGGGGGAAUACUGGCUUCUUGGUCUACUUCCUGUUGCUCUAACAAAACACCUAAGGCCAGGUUAUUUAUAAAGCAAUCAAGGUUAUUCAGCUCACAGUUCUGGAGACAGAACAGCGCACAGCAUGGCACAGGCACCUGUUCUGCCCCUGCAGGGGGCCUCAUGCUGAAUGGUAACAUGGCGGAGGACAGCACAUGGUGGGUCGGAGCAGGCACGCCAGCUCAGAUCUCUUCUUACAAGGCCACUGACCCCAGCAUGCGAGCCCCACCCUCUCAGCCUCAUGGGACCCUGGUGACCUCCAGAACACCCCACUCCCAGGCCAUUAACUUAUGAAUUGAGGGACCAGGUUUCCAGUCCAUAAACCUUUAUGGGACACACUCCAUGGCACUAGGCAAGGUAUUUGCUUGGAUUCUUGGUUUUACUAAUAGGACAGAACUGCAGAGAGUUGGAAUCAAGGCCAUUUAUCUGUGGUUUCUUUUCUGGAGAAAGCACGAUACUUGCUUUUUUGUUUAAUGUUCAGGUUGAAAUUAGAAACUUGCAUCAGUAUCUGCAGUUUUCUGUGUUUUCACUGACGAUGACUUCAUAUCAGAACUAUCAGGAAUGCUCCUGCACACACAAGAGAAGUGAGCAAGGGCAGGCUUGGGGCAGAUUUUGCCUACGCCAUGUUUCAGCUGGAGGCAGGUGUAGUACCCACCGGAGGCCGUGGGCUUGCUGGAGUGACGUGCUUUUGCUUGGCUCCUCAUUGCUUCCAGAGGCUGAAGGUCUGGCUCUGUCUCCUGCACCACUCCGUCUCCUUGAGUUCCUCUGAGACGCUGUCUUUCCCAGUAACACUCAGAAAAGAUCCAACACCAGAUUUUAUUCUGUUUGUUCAGAUAUGAUCUUUUUUUUUUUGGUACCACUGAGCCACAUGCCCAGCCCUAUUUUGUAUUUUAUUUAGAGACAAGAGUCUCACUGAGACCCUGCUUAGUGCCUCGCCAUCUCUGAGGCUGGCUUUGAACUCUCCAUCCUCCUGCCUCAGCCUUAGCUGCUGGGGUUACAGGGGUGUGCCACCGUGCCUGGCCAGAUACGAUCCUUCUUAGUCCACAAAGUGAGGUGGCCGUCUGUGACAGCUAGCUCCUGGUGUUGCCAGAUUGGAAGAACAGUUUAAAGUCUGCCUGCUCUACGGGCAACACCAGCAAUCCCUUUUGUUCAUUUCUUUCAAUGGGGUUGGAUGGGAUUCUGCCAUCUUGAUUGCCAUUGUUGGAUUUCUUGGUGGAAGAUGAGCUUGCUUUGGACACUAGGUAGCUUAUCCACACCAUAAAAGCAUGGUGCCCCCGAGAACCGGCUCCCAGCAUGGCGCAUCACCUCUGGAUUCUCCCUCCCCCAAAGGUGUCCGAGUGUCCAACCACGGCCCCCACAAGGGCCUGGCUUCAGUACACACGGCCCUUGUGGUUGUCACCCCCCAAACAUCAGGAGCACCCGGUGCACCUGGGAUGAGGUACAGGGCGACACAGCUGAUUCUGGACUUGGCACAGGAGAAAUUUGGCCCCAGGUUUGUGCCACUUUUUCUUCCCUUUGGCUUGACAUCAGAUAACUGUGUCUUAUCUGAGAAGUUUUCAACUCUCCCUCCAGAGCUUUCCCGUCCUUUGGGGGUUUUCAGAUAUAGUAG